rnacentral:rRNA from 1 species
GAUGAACGCUGGCGGCGUGCCUAAUACAUGCAAGUCGAGCGAACAGAUGAGAAGCUUGCUUCUCUGAUGUUAGCGGCGGACGGGUGAGUAACACGUGGGUAACCUACCUAUAAGACUGGGAUAACUCCGGGAAACCGGGGCUAAUACCGGAUAAUAUUUUGAACCGCAUGGUUCAAUAGUGAAAGACGGUUUCGGCUGUCACUUAUAGAUGGACCCGCGCCGUAUUAGCUAGUUGGUAAGGUAACGGCUUACCAAGGCGACGAUACGUAGCCGACCUGAGAGGGUGAUCGGCCACACUGGAACUGAGACACGGUCCAGACUCCUACGGGAGGCAGCAGUAGGGAAUCUUCCGCAAUGGGCGAAAGCCUGACGGAGCAACGCCGCGUGAGUGAUGAAGGUCUUCGGAUUGUAAAACUCUGUUGUUAGGGAAGAACAAAUUUGUUAGUAACUGAACAAGUCUUGACGGUACCUAACCAGAAAGCCACGGCUAACUACGUGCCAGCAGCCGCGGUAAUACGUAGGUGGCAAGCGUUAUCCGGAAUUAUUGGGCGUAAAGCGCGCGUAGGCGGUUUCUUAAGUCUGAUGUGAAAGCCCACGGCUUUCCGUGGAGGGUCAUUGGAAACUGGGAAACUUGAGUGCAUAAGAGGAGAGUGGAAUUCCAUGUGUAGCGGUGAAAUGCGCAGAGAUAUGGAGGAACACCAGUGGCGAAGGCGGCUCUCUGGUCUGUAACUGACGCUGAUGUGCGAAAGCGUGGGGAUCAAACAGGAUUAGAUACCCUGGUAGUCCACGCCGUAAACGAUGAGUGCUAAGUGUUAGGGGGUUUCCGCCCCUUAGUGCUGCAGCUAACGCAUUAAGCACUCCGCCUGGGGAGUACGACCGCAAGGUUGAAACUCAAAGGAAUUGACGGGGACCCGCACAAGCGGUGGAGCAUGUGGUUUAAUUCGAAGCAACGCGAAGAACCUUACCAAAUCUUGACAUCCUUUGAUCGCUCUAGAGAUAGAGUCUUCCCCUUCGGGGGACAAAGUGACAGGUGGUGCAUGGUUGUCGUCAGCUCGUGUCGUGAGAUGUUGGGUUAAGUCCCGCAACGAGCGCAACCCUUAAGCUUAGUUGCCAUCAUUAAGUUGGGCACUCUAGGUUGACUGCCGGUGACAAACCGGAGGAAGGUGGGGAUGACGUCAAAUCAUCAUGCCCCUUAUGAUUUGGGCUACACACGUGCUACAAUGGAUAAUACAAAGGGCAGCGAAUCCGCGAGGCCAAGCAAAUCCCAUAAAAUUAUUCUCAGUUCGGAUUGUAGUCUGCAACUCGACUACAUGAAGCUGGAAUCGCUAGUAAUCGUAGAUCAGCAUGCUACGGUGAAUACGUUCCCGGGUCU